rnacentral:lncRNA from 1 species
UUUGGAAAAGGUUGAUCUUCAUCAAUUAAUCGACUGUACAAAUUACACGAGCUAGAACACAACAGCAAUUUCUAUCUACAGUACUUGCGCGCAAUGGCUAUCUACAGGUUUCAUUAACACAUAGAUCUUGUAAAUAAGAGAGCUGAUCCAUUGACCCCGCGCAGGACUAGCAGUCUGGAAUCCACAUGUUCCGCAGACGAGCCUAGACAAAUCAAACAUCUCAGGCGGAACUUGCACACGGAUUUCUUGAACUAUACUGCUUGGUGUAACAUCAUUUUGAUUAAGGUUGUCCCCGAGACUCAUUGUCACUUCAAUGUCAGCUGAAACAAGUUUGGCCACUGGAAGGCUCCAGGGAAACUCCUUAUACGGGACAAGUUUCCUCCAUUUUUUAGCUGACAAUUUCUGGGCUAAAGAAUCUUGAUUGUUUGGUUGCCCAAAGGAUAACUUCUCUUAUGUCUUUUCCUCCUUAAGAUACAACCGUCUGUUGGGGAUUCCAACCGGUCACUACCAGAAAACCGGAGAAAACCAACGGAAUUACCGACGGCCUUUUUCCGUCGGUAAUAAUUCCCGACGGAAAUAAUUGAUCCGUCUCAAAAUCUGUCGGUAUAUACCGACGGCCUAGAUCCGUCGGCGAAACGGUCGGUAUAUACCGACAGAAUAUUUCCAUCGGUAUAUACCAACCGUUUCUCCGAUGGGGUACACAGUUUGUCUGGAAAUAUGCAACGGCGUGGUGACGUCAGACUAUUUUACCGACGAAAUUACCGAGGGAUUCAAACUGAGAUAGUCGUACAGUGGCGUGGCACUGUCACCGACGGAAUCACCGACAGCUUCAUUCCGUUGGUGAUUCCAUCGGAAAAAACCAUUAUAUACCCACCCACCUGCCGACACUCUCUUCCUCUGUUUCUCCUUCUUCUUCUUUCCCAUCCCACCUCUCCCCUCCCAAACUGCAGCCAACCACCCAUCCCAACUCUCCACUAUUCUCAACACAAGCACUCGAGUUUCUUAUAUCUUGUACGUGGUCACAAUAUCCGUUUCUUGUAGAUUUUAUCAUUUUUUUGUAAGUAAAUCUAUCCUUUUUAGUUUUAAUAUUUAAAUGUUAAUUUUAUUGUUUUAGUAUAUGUAUUUUGUUAACGUUUGUACUUGUUUAAUUGUUAUUUGUCAAAGAAACUUGUAGUAUGAAUGUAUAAUUUUGUGGUUGUUAUAGUUUGUUUUAGAUUUUGUCAAAUUAUAUUUGUUUGUAAAUUGUUGAAAUUUUGUUUGAAUUACUCCAAAUUAAAUGUGUUGUGAUAUGAAAUAAAUAAUUAAUAGCUUGUUUAACGAGUCUUGUUUAAUUGUUAUCAAUUCUAUUUCGAAGUUGUGAUUUCUGUAAAUUUAUAUAUGUAUAAAUUUGUAUGUAUGAACGUUGAUAGUUGAUAAUUGAUAAUGAAUAUUUAACAUAAGUGUUGUUUUAGUUUGUUGGAUAAUGUCGGGGAAAACCAAUAUUUUUGUUAUGUUUUAUAGAGGUUCAAUAGAAGUCAUGGAUGACCGUUCAUGGAUGUAUCAAGACUCACCCCAAGGAUUGCGGAGGAUGGAUUAUUGUAACGGUGCCCAGGGUUUUAUUAAUUUUACAACAUCUAUUCCGAGGAAUUUUACUGAUGGUGGUAUUAAGUGUCCAUGCAGGAAGUGUAAAAAUUUAAAGUUUUUGCAUCAAGAAGUUGUAACGAUGCAUCUUCUAACCAAAGGGUUCAUGAAGGAUUACAUGUGUUGUUAUGCUCAUGGAGAACUAUUUGUUCUUGAUGAGAGCAUGGAAGAACAGGUGGUUGUGUCAACUUCUAGUGCUAGCAACAUGCAUGAAGUUGGAAAUGAGAACAGUAAUCCUUACAGGAAUAUGGUUAUGGAUGCAAUGAGAAUGAGUGAAGGUAAUGUCAGGGAAUGUCCAAUCAUAGAAGAAGAACCUAAUGCAGAUGCAGUAAGGUUUUUUGAUCUGUUGAGAGAUUCUGACGAACUAUUAUGGGAUGGCUGCAUGAACCACAGUAAAUUAUCAGCCGUAGCACAGGUGUUCACCAUCAAGUCAGAUCNNNNNNNNNNNNNNNNNNNNNNNNNNNNNNNNNNNNNNNNNNNNNNNNNNNNNNNNNNNNNNNNNNNNNNNNNNNNNNNNNNNNNNNNNNNNNNNNNNNNGGGCGAGAAGCAUUUUACCUGAAGGGAACAGGCUGAAAGAGAACUUCUAUGCUGCCAAGUCCAUGAUGAAACCCCUCGGGUUUAGGAUACCAGAAAAUUGAUAUAUGCCCUAACUUCUGCAUGUUAUACUACUUUGAAAAUGCUGAGAUGACCGAGUGCAUGACAUGCGGGCAUUCCCGUUACAAACCCAGAACUGGUAGAGGGAAGACUCUCGUGGCAUAUAAAAAACUUAGAUACUUCCCAAUCACACCUAGACUGCAGAGGUUAUUCAUGUCACCAAGGACUGCUGAGCAUAUGACAUGACACCAAUCACACCAUGCGGUUGAUGAAGUGAUGGUUCAUCCUUCUGACGGUGAAGCCUGGAAACACUUUAACAGUAUGAAUCCUCACUUUUCAGCUGAAUCAAGGAACGUGCAUCUUGGGUUGUGUAUAGACGGAUUCAACCCAUUCGGGUCAUUUGCUGCUCCUUAUUCUUGUUGGCCGGUCAUACUGACGGUUUAUAACUUGCCACCGGGGAUGUGUAUGAGGCCGGAGUUCAUGUUUUUAUUUAUGGUCAUACCAGGUCUGAGCAGUCCGGGGCGGAAUAUAGAUGUUUGUCUUCGUCCUUUGAUUGAUGAGUUGACGCAGUUGUGGUCCUCUAGAGCUUUGACUUAUGACAUUUCGAGGAAACAAAAUUUUGUUAUGAGAGCGGCUUUGAUGUGGACUAUCAAUGAUUUCCCAGCUUAUGGAAUGGUUUCUGGUUGGAGCACACAUGGAAAGCUAGCAUGUCCAUAUUGUAUGGAGAAUAACAAGGCAUUCACGCUAACAAAUGGGGGUAAAGCUUCUUUUUUUGACUAUCACUGUUGUUUCUUGCCACAUAACCACAGGUACAGAAAGAACAGAAAGGAUUUCUUUGUUGGCAGAGUUGAAAAGGAUGUUGCACCCCCGCGUCUUUCCGGUGAAGAAUUGUUUGAUGUUGUGUCAGAGUACAAUGACAUUGUGUUUGGUCUCCAAUCAGGUAAGCAGAAGUUUCCUGGUUUUGGUUUGACCUAUAAUUGGGUGAAGCGAAGUAUCUUUUGGGAGCUUCCUUAUUGGAAGACCAAUCUUCUCCUCCAUAACCUUGACGUCAUGCACAUUGAAAAGAACGUGUUUGAGAACAUUUUCAACACCGUCAUGGAUGCGAAAGGGAAGACAAAGGACAACAUCAAGGCUAGAUUGGAUGUAGCGCUGUUCUGUAACCGUAAAAAUAUGGAGUUGGUUUCUGAUGGGUCACGGGUCGCAAAACCAAGAGCAAGCUUCGUGCUAGAGAAAAACGCACAACUACUAGUCUACAAAUGGCUUAAGAGUCUGCGUUUCCCCGAUGGACAUGCCUCGAACAUAUCAUGGCUGGUUAAUACGGAGGAAUGCAGAUUUUAUGGAAUGAAAAGUCAUGACUGCCAUGUGUUUAUGCAAACACUUAUCCCAUUAGCUUUUCAUGAUUUGUUGCCAAAAGGGAUAUGGGAUGCACUAACGAAGAUCAGUCAUUUCUUCAGAGAUAUAUGCUUCAUUAAGUUGAAUGUUGAUCACAUUGAAAGGCUUGAAAAGAAUAUCGUCGAGACAGUAUGCAAACUUGAGAUGAUAUUCCCUCCAUCAUUUUUUGACUCAAUGGAGCAUCUACCCGUACAUUUACCGUUUGAGGUAAAAGUUGGAAGACUGGUCCAGUACAGAUGGAUGUAUCCAUUCGAGAGGUUAGAUAUUACAUGAGCUAUGUAAUUUAUAAUUAAAUGUUUUUAUUUUUAUUUUUAAUGUUUUUAAUUGAUAAUUUAUUAUAUAUAUAUAUAUAUAUAUAUAUAUAUAUAUAUAUAUAUAUAUAUAUGCAGGUACUUGUUCAAUCUUAAAAAAAGGUGAAGAACAAGGCGCAUGUUGAGGCGUCAAUAUGUGAGGCCUAUAUUGUUGAGGAGAUCUCAACAUUUGUCUCAUACUAUUUCGAACCUCAUUUGAGAACGAGGAUAAAUCGUGUUCCACGGCAUGAUGAUGGUGGUGAAGUGCCUUCAAGUGGGAACUUGUCAAUAUUCUCCAAUCCUGGACGACCCACACCUAAAAAUGCCGUGAGGGGAAGAUAUUUGUCUGAAAUAGAGUUCAGACAAGCACACAAUUAUGUCAUAUUUAACUGUGAUGAGCUAAGACAUUUUAUUAAGUAAGUAGAUGUUCGACUUAAACUUUGUCAAGAGUGUACUAUUUAUGUUUUGUGAUACCAUACACUCAUAUAAUUUGGAACAACCUUGCAGGCAACAUCGACGAUACUUACUGUCCAAUAACUCACAACUGACCGAAUCCCAGAUCUUUCAAUUACAAGAUGAACAAUUUGCCACAUGGUUUAGAACACAUGUAAGUCCUAUCACAAACUCAUUAUCUUUUGCAAUGUAAUUAAUUGUAGUCAAUGUUACAUAAUAUUCGUUUAUUGAUUAUUAUUGUAUUUAAUUUACAAGCUAGGUUUAUCAAAUGGGAGGUAGUGCUGCUAUUUCACUGUUUUUACUAUGCCUGGGCCCUGAAAGAAAAGUCAAGUGUUAUAACGGGUAUUUUGUCAAUGGAUAUGUCUUUCAUACUGAAGAAUACGGGCAUGGAAGAAAGACAUACAACAGCGGUAUUUGUAUCAAGGGAUCAACUUCUAGUGAGUUUGAAUUUGACUACUACGGUAGAUUGGAAGAGGUCAUCGAACUGCAAUAUCAUAGCGAGCAAAAUAGAGUGUUUUUAUUCAAAUGUUAUUGGUAUGACACAACUGACAGAGGAAUCAGAGUAGAUCCUCACUAUAGUCUCGUUGAAAUCAACUCAAAAGCUAGACACCGCAACGUAAAUGACGUCUUUGUUUUCGCAAAGCAAUGCCAACAAGUUUAUUACACAUACACCCCUUCCUUUAGAAAGGAUCGAUCAAGAGUUGAUUGGUUAUCCGUUUUAAAAACAAAACCCAAGGGUCGUGUCGAGAUUGUUCAGGAUGAGAACAAAGACAUAAGUGUGAUAGAUGAAGUCUUUCAAGCUAGUGAGUUGGUUGAACCAUACCGAGUUGCUCCGUCGAUUGACUUAUAAGAAAAUUCAAAUUUUCAUGUUUUCAACGAUAGUCUUGUUGAUGUUGACGCAGAGGAGUUGAAUGUUGUUCUGAGCUCUACUAGUGGAAAAAAGAACUUUAUUGAAGAAGAUGAUAACGAAAUUGAAGAGUGCGAUGAAGCUGAUGAUAACAAUUCAAUAGAGGACGAAGAUGAAAAUUCCGACUAACUAAACAUGUUCUAAAGCCUUAUUUUAUAAUGUAAUAAUUUGAAACAUGAAAUAUUUAUUCUUCUUUAAUGGUUAGCCCUUGUUAUUGUGUUGUGUGUGCUGUAAGAUUUCAAUUCAAGAUUUUGUGACAGGGUUACAUAAAAAAAUAUGAAAAAUUUAAGGUUUCACCGACGAGUACACCGACGGACUAUAACCUGUCGGUAUUUCACAGAGAGUUGAAAAACAUUUACGGGAUUGUGCCACUUUCACCGACAGUGUCACCGACAGACCAUACCCGUCGGUAUUUCAUAGAGUGUUGCAAAAAAAUUUACGGGAUUGUGCCAUAAUCACCGAUGGGUACACCGAGGGCAUUUCUGACGGACAAUACCGACAGAAUCACCGACGGAUUUACGCACAUCCCGAAGCCCACGCAUGUCAGACACGUGUCCGUCUGCACAAAUACCGAUGGAUUGACCGACGUCAAAUACCGACUAAUUUACGCACAUCCCGAAGCGCACGCAAGUCAGACACGUGUCCGUCUGCAUGAAUACCGACAGAUCGAAAUGUCUGGCGGGAUUUUUGAACUUUUUUGGUGCGUAUUUCAAUUAAUUUUCAUCGGUAUUACCGACGGAAUUUAAUGCCACCGACAAUAAUUAAUUUCCGUCGGUAAUACCGUCGGAAACAUUGCUAUAUAAACCCCCCCUCCCCCCAUUUGGUUCAUUUUCUUCUCUGCUUCCGUUUCUCUUCUUCUCCAUUUCUCUUCUCCUCUCAGUUUAUAUUUGGCUUUUGGAAGGGAUUUUAUUGUUUUGGUGGUAGUUUUAAAAGGUAUGUAUUCUUUUUUCUUUAUCUUUGUAUUUUUUUUAUUUUAAUUAUGAUUAUUGUUUUUGGUGUUCUUUGUUUUGUGUAUUGUUUGUAGAUAAAAUCUUAAAUUCAACACACUAUUAAUGUAAGCAUUUUUUAUUCCCAAAUUUAUUUUGAAUUGAUAUAGUGUUUUUUAGUUUUAUGUAUUGUUUGUUUUGUGUUUAUGUUAAAAAUGUUAAUUUAUAUUUAUAGAAUUACAUUUAAUUAGUUUAUUUUAAUUUAGGAUAUUAUUGUUUGUAUUGCUAUAAUUGUUAUUGUUGAAUUUAUGUUAAAAUGUUAAUUUAUAUAUAUAGAAUUACAUUUAAUUAGUUUAUUUUAAUUUAGGAUAUUAUUGUUUGUAUUGUUGUAAUUGUUAUUGUUGAAUUUAUGUUAAAAUUGUUAAUUUAUAAAUAUAGAAUUACAUUUAAUUAGUUUAUCUUAAUUUAGGAUAUUAUUGUUUGUAUUGCUAAAAUUGUUAUUGUUGAAUUUAUGUUAAAAUUAUUAAUUUAUAUAUAUAGAGUCUUGUCUCCUAAAACUUGAAAUGUAAUAUUAAUCUGUAAAUUUGAAUGUAUGACUUUAAUCUAAUGUUUAUCACUCUAAGUACCAAUUUAACAAUGAAUGUUCAUAGUUGAAAUUGAUUAUUUUACUUGAAUAUCAUUAUAUGAUGUUAUUGAAUAAGAUGUUUUGUGUUGAUGAUGAUGAGUUGGGUUGAGAUCCAGGAUGAUAUUGGAUCGGGAUGUGAAAUAAAAUUGGAAGUGUAAUAUGAUUUUGUCAAUAACUUGGGACCCCCCAGUAUAGGGGAGACUCUGGCGAAUUUUUUUAAAAUAAUCAAAGUUAAUUAUGUAAUUAUUCGUAUAAAUUUAUGUAGAUGCGUAGAAUGAAAUCUACAGCACGUCGUCAGAAGACAGUUGCAGCUAGUUCUUCUAGCAGUGAGGAGGACGUAUCUUUAGGUGCUGAUCACGGCGAGGAAUCUACGCCAACUUGUGAUGCUGCCUCUUCUAGCGCGGUUUCACAGCGUAGAAGCGAUGUGCCUUCACAACGGGGUCAAUUCACCCGCAAGUACCAGGCACAAUGGAAGGAUGACCUCUCAAUGUAAGUUUGUUUAGGUUUUAGUUUUUUUUAUAUAUAUACUUAUAACAUAAUUUAUGAACAACUAAUUAAUAUUAAUACUUUUAUUUAAUUUCAGGUUCACAAACAUUGAGGCUGCAAGGACUAUAACAUUGACGUUUAAAUCAUUGAUGGAGAUUCCAUUGUUUCAAUGGAGCCAGGUUUCCAGACAUCCUGAGUGGAAACCUAAUAUCGAUGCAUGGUUUAAGCGAUUUCAUGUCGGUGUUAAUUUUUAAUUUCCAGCUUAUUUUUAAUAAAUGAUUUUUAUAAUUUUAUAUCUUGUACUAUUUUUAUUUUAUAUGAAUUAUUUAUAUACACAGAACAAAUUUGAGUGGGAUAGGGUGAACAACAAUGUUGUGAGGAUGGUAUGGGAGAAUCACGCGGUAACUAGGUAAAAUCAAAAAUAAUAUUUAUUUUUGUUUUAUAAUUUUAUGUUUUAAAUUCUAAUUUGUUACUAUGAAAGUAGGUUGCGUGAUUUUUGGUAUGACACCCAAAAAAAAUCAAAAAGACAUGCGAGGGAUAAUGAUCUUGAAGGAUGGAAUGAGGUGGCAAUUUGGCAGGAAUUCAAACCGCCAUUCAUCUCGGGGGAAAUAUGGACGGCAUAUAUUGAGUACGUGACCUUAGAGCGGUUUUCACGACGCUCACAGUCCGGCGCCGACAACCAGAACCGGCAAAUUCAUGGUUCGGUGACCACGCAUACUGAUGAAUCCGUCCCAUUCAGCGCACAUGCAAAGCGGAUGGUAAAAUUAAUUUUAAUGAAAUAUAUCGUUAAUUAAUUUGUCAUUCCUUAUAAUAUAUUUAACUUUCAACCUAUUUUUUCCUUACAGGCUGCGUCUCUUGGACGUGAGCCGAGUCCAAUGGAGCUGUUUGUAGAGACGCAUGUGCGGAGUCAAUACCGCCAAAAGAGGGUGCAGCAGUUCGUGGACAACCGUGCUCAGCACUUUGUGGUAUGUUCGUUCAUUCAUUUUAUUUUGUAAGUUAUUAUUUUCUUGAAUUGCAUCUUGAAUUGCAUUUGAUGAUUUUUUUUAAAAUUUUCAAGAGACCUAUAAUAGCCGGUUGCGGGAGAGAUAUGGGGACAAUCCUUCGACCCAUCCAGAUUUCGAUCCAGAUUUGUGGAUGGAGGUGGGAUCGUCUGGUGGACCCGAUAAAAAUCGGGUCUACGGGCUCUCCAACACUACGACUGAAAACUUGUGUUCGGCUCGUAGUGUCUCAACCGUUGGGAGCUCUCCAUCAGUAUCGAGCACCCAGUCUGAGGAGUUCAUUGCCUUGAAACAACAAUAUCAACAACUCUCGAUGAAUUAUGAUGAGCUCCAUCAAAUAGUCAUGGAGAUGAGAUCAAAGAUGGGUGAUGAUACUUGUGCAGGGCCUUUUUGGUCGUACGGUCCCGGGAACAACCAGCCUCCUCCUCCUCCAGCUCCGCCGCUAUUCUAGUUUAAUUUUGUUUUUUAAACACAUUAAAUUUAUAAUGAAUAUUUGGAUGAAUAUUAUUUAACAUUAUUUUUAUAUUUUUAAUGUUUAAUCCAAUUUUAUUUCUUUAUUAGAGUUUUCAUAUUAAUAAAUUAUUUAUAUAUAUAUAUUUUACAUAUAUGCCGACGGCUGUACCGACGAAUAAUAUCUGUCGGUGAUUCAUAGAGAGUUGCCAAACAAUUACCAGCCAUGCCAUAAUGACUGACGGACAUAUUCCGUCAGUGAUCACAAUCAGACGGAUUUACCGACGGAUAAUAUCCGUUGGUUUUUCACAGAGAGUUGCCACACAGUUACCACCGAUGCCAUAUUUACCGAUGGAUAAUCCGUCGGUAAUUACCGUUGGAGUUUCAGACGGAUUUAUUCCAUCGGUAAUGUUCCCGCGGGAAACUUUUUUUUUGGCGCGCACGUAUCCGUCUGUAAGACCGUCGGUGUUCCGUUGGUGGGCGGUUAUUUUUUUGUGACAGAAUUAACAACGCAAAGGGUAGUUACCGACGACUAUUAUACCGACGAACGUGUUCCGUCGGAGAGGCCUUCGGUCAUUAUUUCACCGACGGCAUUAAUUCCUGUUACCGACGGAAUAAGUCCGUCGGUAAAACUGUUUAAUGAUGUAGUGGGUAAUGUUCCGAUAUUUGCCCGUUGGAGGCUAAGCAUACUGACACAAUAUUUACAUGGUUCGACAAAACCGCCUACAUCCACGGGAGAGGUUCAUUUUAUUAGAGAUAGAGAAAGGAUACAAUAAAUACAUGGAGGAGGAGGAUUACAUCCACUAUACUCUACUCCCAGCUCUUACACACUGCUGUUGCAGCUGCUGCCAUUGCACAAGCUUGCAUUUUGCAGCUUUUCCAAGCUUACCAUUUUGAGAGUGUCUUCAACACAACAUUCCCCUUCGAGCGUAUCAAUCAUGCUCGGUCCGGAAUGAUUUUUCAAGCCUUACACCAAGGCUUACAACACCCCCUCAAAUGAAUAUUCCUAAGUGCGACAGUCAUUGAGUAUUUCAAUGUGAUCACAAGCUCACCACUCUUCCAAGAGUCUACUCAUCCAGGAGUUGCGCCUGCCCUCUGUUCCACCCUUGGAACCACGCCUUACUUCUCCGUGAGUCUCUCGCUCUUAGUCCUAAGAGUCCAGGUAGCUCUCCACCUUUAACCAUGUGGGCAGCCCAUUAAAGGUUGAUCCAUAUAUGUCUUUAUACUCUGAGUAUUACAAUGCCAUUACCGAGCUCACCACCUUGACAAGAGUCAACUUGUUCCCGGAACCUGCGCAUGCCCUCUGCUCCUUCAUAGCAGCCACGUCUUAAUGCUCCACAAGUCACCCACUUAUUGUCCAAGGCAAAUGUCUUCUAGCUCAUUAAUCUUUAGCAUGAGGGCAAUAUCCAUGAAAGUUAAUCCUGCAUUUGUCUUCAUACUCAUCAUAACCACUUCAUUGGCUAUACACCUGCCCACUCAUAUCUAGCCAUCAUAUUGGCUCUGGGGUGUUCUGAACUGGGCUCAUAUCAUGGCCUUCACACCUUCUCCUGAGGUGUCUCCGCUCGUCGUCAUGCGGCGGUCUGAACUAGGGCUCCUAUCACGGCCCUUACACACCUUCCAUCUAAGGUGUCUUCGCCUUUCAUAGGCGGUCGCAUCCUCCUUCAGCUGAGAUGCUUCAAAGUGGCUCCAAAAAUUCUCUACCACCAUGUGUACUAUGGGAGAUCACUGCCACUGAUUACAUAGAAAGAGAAAGUUGUGGUAUACUCCUUGCAAUCCUCCAUCUCGAUUUCUAUGUUUGGAGCUUCUGUGCCUUUCUGCUUGACAGCUCCACCUACACCAACUCUUUUUGGUGUCUUUACCUUUCAAUAUAGGCGGUCGCCUUAGUGGUGGGGUAUUGCCACAAAAUGGCAAUAUCCUAACACCGUCUCCCAGAUGUCAACCGGAAUAAAGAGUUUACUUCUAAUUUUCCAGUUAUACCACUUUUUCAUGAGGCCAGUCUCGACCAUUCAUGACCGUGAAGUGAUUAGUACUUAAAAGUGCAUUCUCAUUAACGCUUUAUAUCAUCGUAUUGCACUAAAGUAUCGUUAAAUUCCCUAAUUAAAGCAUGUUUUAUAAUAACAGGUAUGAUAAUAUAAUAUAUCUUUAAUUUAUGAUAAAUGCUUAUUUUGAAUGCAGGUAUAUCUCACAAUUUAAAAGAUUGAUUAAUGUGAUUAACUAUUAAAAGUGAAGAGACAAAAAGAGGACUAGGCUAAGAGAAGAGAUGUUGGUUCAAUUCCAAACUAGAACACCAUUCGGUUAUUUGAUCAUAACUGGAGUUGUAGAACUCGGAUUUAGGUCCACUUUAUAUGGAUGGAAAGAUAAGACAUAGACCUAAAACUUUCAUAAGAGUUCAAGACUCAAUUCUGCCGUUUUCAAGUUGAAAUCUUAGCAACAACGGAGAAGUCGGAACCUGUCCUGCAGCUCAAACACUGUUCGGUUUUCAGCUCAUAUCUUGAGUUCUAGAAGUCCAAAUGAGCUCUGGUUUUUUUUGUUGGAAAGCUGAGACAAUUGCCCACAGUUUUCAUGGAACAAAAGGCUCAAAUUCUGAUGUUAGCAAUAAUGUUUUGGUCAGCCAACAAUAUCAAAAAUCUGCCAACAAUAUCAAGAAACAGCAGCCAACAAUAUCAAAAAUCUGCCAACAAUAUCAAGAACCAGCAGCCAACAAUGUCAAAAACCAGCCACCAAAUCAAUGGUUUCCUACCAAUCAAUAGUUCUGAAUCUUAGCCUAUAAAAGGAGGCAUUUGCCAUGUAUUUAGUCAUAUUAUUUUUCAGAUCAAAAUCAUCUUCUUGCUUUCUCUCUUUAUAUCUUUGUAAUGUUCAAGUUUUCUUUCAUGCUAUAUUAAUCUCUUGUUUAUGCUUUUUCAUUUCCUUUCCUAUACUUAGUUAACUUAUAUCAUGUUUAUGUUCUUAUGUUGUUUAUUUAUGUUUUUCUUUUUCAUUAUGUUUAGCUAAGUUAAUUAUGUCAAGGUGAAAAGGUUUUACUAAUGGUGUUAGAAUAGGUAUAAUAUAAACUCAACAUGGACUUUAAUGUUUAUAUCCAAGAAAGUUUGUUAUUAACUUGUUUUAUCUUUUUAUCUUACUAAUUCUUAAUACCUUGCUUGUUAAAUGGUUAAUCUAGAUUUGUGUUGUAUAACACUUGGUACAUCAAAUGCUUGAUCCUUCAUAGUUUUCGGUCGACAUCGUUAUUAUGAUAGGAACUUGAUUUGUUGUUAACAUAAGCUAGCAACAUGAAUGCCUGAUGAUAUUUAUAAGUAUGGUGUUACUUGAAUAGGAUAAUUAAUAUGAUCAUGUUAAUACUUUAUAAUGAGCCAUUAACGAUAAAUCAUCCGAUUGGAACCUCCUUUGUGUGUGGUUUCUAAUUGAGUAAUAAAAAAAGUUUAUAUUAUAUUUAUUUGAAAUACCAUUAGUGGAUCCUUUAACCUUGACAUCUGUUUUAUCCUUAUUUAAUCUUUUCAUCAUUAUUACAUCUCAAACUUCUCUUCAACAUCAAUAUCAUUUUAUUGUUUGUAAUUUAUAUAAUUCACCUCCCUGUGGUUCGACCCCGGUCUUGCCGGGUUAUUUAUUACUUUGACACUCCUGCACUUGGGAUAAGACAUCAACUCUUUGAUCGUGUCAUGAAGCCAAUGUCCGAUGUGAAGGAAAUACUAGUAUUUAAUUUUGAUGCUCUAUUUAUAGUUAGAUAAACAUCACCAAUCAGGACACCAGCAAAAGGCUGGUGAAGGGUUAAUCCUAUUUGUCUCCCGGUACAGUAUAACAGACGCCAUUUUCCUGGAAGCAACUCCAACCAGUUCUGCACAUUGAAGUAAAGCAGAAAUUUCAAUAUUGAGUAGCCUUUGAGAAUAACAAGGCCUCGAUCUCGAGCUCGUUGGAGAUGGAUGGUAAAAGCAUAAUCAAUCAAUAAAAUGUUUCAUGUUCUACCAGAAGGAAGAAUCCAAAGAAUAUUGGCUGAUGAAGAAGUACAACAGCUAAAGAACCAAAUAAGUUUCUAGCUUCUUUUUCUUUAUAUUGUGUCAAUGCAUUUAGCAGUUAGACCAUUUCACAUAAAGUGUUCGCGUAACGAAACGAGAGAGUAAAUGGAAAAGAACAAGUGACUAUAAAUUAGAAGCCUUUGAAAGUAAAGGUGAUGAUACAAGUUAUAAUAUAUUUGAGGCAACUAGACAUAGAUCCCAUAUGACUCUUUGGAGAGAGCAAAAGAAUUAAUGAAUCUAUAAAAGCUACGAACAAAGUAGAUAAUUGCUAACCUUUGGCCUUGAAUGAGCAUUCAGCAUCUCCAUCAAUUCGAUAAAAUAGGAAAGCCUAUUACGCUAUCACAUCAAAAUCACCAGUCAGUUUACAUUGUCAAUGUAAUGUCAUUGCGAGCUAUAAACCAACACCACGUAUAUAAUGAGUUUACAUGCAAACAUUUAGUAGUUCGAAUAGAAAUAGAAGCACACUAAGAUAUCUUUCAAAUAACAGGAAAUUAAUUUGUAACACUAAUUGUUCCAUCUCAUACUUGUGCUUCCCUAGAAAAAUAGGGUACUUUGUAAGUUCACAAAGACUCUGAUAAAUGAUCAAGAUGCAUGGUUGCGCUUCUCUAUGCUCAGAACAUGAAACUUUCAAAAUUUCCAGCUAAUCACUCAAGGCAAAAAUUAAUGGAUCCAUGAGUUCCCGCAGUACCAUUUUUGCCAUCAUAAAUCCUACACAUCUUUUCAACAUGGAUGAAACAGAAUUCAGUACAUCCCGCAGCACUACCUGGAUACACUUUUAGGUCUAUCAAUCUAUUCAUACCUCAUGUCAAAUGCAAUCAUCAUCUGCCGUCUGUCCAUGUUGUUGUCCAGUGUGCUACUAUUUGGACCAUCCUCGUAAAAGUCAGCAGCAUUCUCUAGUAUCCCUACCUGAAAAGUUAUAAUUUCAGAAGUUUCACAAAGUAAGACAUCAAUGCAAGAAAGAAACCACAUGUUACACAACUUAAUCAAUGAAGUAGUGCUUCAAAGCCUUUAGAUUAAAGCAUGGAGGAAAAAUAACUUUUUUUUGCUGUUAUCGACGAUUUCUACCUAUGAAUCACCCAUAUAGAUAUUAAUCAGAUAAGUUUUUGAAAGGAGUAACAAAAUGGCUCCCUCCUUUACCUCGUCGAUCUAGUUCAAAAAUGUUAUUUGAAGUGUCUAAUUUUACAGAGGAACAUAUUAGAAGUUCAUCUCAUAAUGACAAAAUUCCAGGCUUUGGUAUUAAACACAAUUGGGUGAAGAAAAGCAUUUUCUGCGAGCUUCCAUAUUGGCAUACAAAUUUGAUUCGUCAUAAUCUUGAUAUCAUGCACAUUGAAAAAAAUUUCUUUGAUAAUAUUUUUUAUACAGUAAUGGAUUGUCCUGAUAGAAGCAAGGACAAUGUAAAGGCUAGGUUGGAUAUUCAGUUGUAUUGUAAGAAGUCAAACUUACAUUUGCAACAUGAUGCAAGUGGUCGGGUUUACAAACCUAAAGGCACUUAUUAUCUCUUCAAGAAACAACAACAAGAAGUGUUGUCAUGGAUGAAAGAAUUGUCCUUUCCUUAUGGUUAUGCUUCAAACAUCUCAAGGUGUGUAAAAGAGGCACAAUGUAAGGUUUCAGGCAUGAAAAGUCAUGAUUGUCAUGUUUUUAUGCAAAGACUUCUUCCAAUUGCUUUUCGACCUUACUUGCCUAAGCCAUUGUGGGAGUCAUUAACUGAAUUGUUAGUAUUUUUUCGGGACAUUAGUGGUACAAGUUUAAAUGUCCAACACAUGGAGAUGUUGCAGAUGAAUAUCAUUGAAAUUAUUUGCAAACUUGAAAGGAUUUUUCCUCCAUCCUUCUUUGACUCUAUGAAACACUUGACAAUACAUUUACCUUAUAAGGCAAAAGUCGGAGAACCCAUUCAAUAUCGAUGGAUGUAUCCAUUUGAACGAUAUGUUUUCAUGUCAUAUUAUUUUUUAUUCUUUUCCAUUUUUUCUUAAACUAAUUUAUAUCAAUGAUAUAUGUAUAUGUUUUAUUUGAAGAAAAAAGUGACCAAUAAAGCUAAAGUUGAGGGUUCCAUAUGUGAAGCAUAUUUGAUUGAUGAAAUUACCAAUUUUGCAUCUUAGUAUUUUGGUGAUGACGUGCAAAUAAUAUGGAAUCGAGUUCCAAAGAAUGAUGACGGUGGCCUUAAAAGUCUUGAUGGACAACUUUCAAUUUUUUCUUACCCGGGGAAAAAAUUGUCCAGAAGAUCGUAUAAAAGACAAUUGUCACAUGCUCGAAUGAAAAUUGCACAUAACUAUAUUUGUUUCAACUGUGAAGAAUUGAAGCCCUAUUUAGAGUAAGUAUGAAAUAUUUUUUUAUACUUUAUUCUUAAUAAUUUAAUUUAAAAAAUAAAUUGUUUAUAAUUUAGACAAUGUCAUCAAGAGCUAAAGUCACAACAACCACAUACGAGCAAUGCUGAAAUAGAAACAUUAUGCGAGGAGAUAUUUCUAAUUUGGUUAAAAAAUAAUGAAGUAGUUUUAUAUAAUGAUUUUUUUAAUGCAAUUUUAUUCUUUUAAGAAAUUAUUUUAUUUUUGAAAAAAAAUAUUUAUUAUGGUGUUAAAUGUUAUGGUAGGUUGAAUAUCAAUCAAAUGGAAUUGGGAAUCAAAUCUUUGCACUUGCUAUGGACCCUUCAAAUUUAGUUAAAUGUUAUAAUGGGUAUUAUGUGAAUGGUUUCAAAUUUCACACUCAAAGUUAUGGUCGAUUUAAAAAGACGAUGAAUAGCAGGGUUUGUGUGAAAGGAAGUUGUUAUGAUGACAAUGAAUGUGACUAUUAUGGAAUGCUUGAAAAAGUUGUUCAGCUAAAAUAUUUGGGGAGUAAGUGCAAAGUAUUCAUGUUUAAAUGCCAUUGGUAUGAUACAAGAAGAGGAAUUAUAAAGAAUCGUUCAAAUGGUUUGGUUGAAAUCAAGCAUACUUCUCGACUUAUAUGGAAAUGAAGAUUUUAUGCUAGCAUUACAAUGUCAACAAGUCUACUAUACAUGUCCACCUUAUAAUAAAUCUUCUGAAUGGUGGGAAAUAAUUAAGACAACUACUAGAAGUCGCUAUAAUGUUGACAUGGGUGAAUUUAUUGAAGAUGAUAACAAUAUGAGAUCAUUUGAUGUCACUCAAUCAGAUGACUCAACCAUGUCGUGUCCUUCCUACUCAAACACUUGAUGAUCCAAAUAUAGUUGUUGAAGCAUCAUAUUAUACAGAAAUCAACCAUUGUGAAUUGCUUCAGUUACAGGCAAAUUCGGUAGAAGUUGAAAGGGCUUCAGAUGAAGAAUUUGAUGAUGAUGUUAAUGGUGAUUACAAUGAUGAUGAUGUGGUUACGAGUGAUGAUAAUGAUGAGCAACAUGAUGAUGAUAUAUUGUAAAAUUUAUUUUUUAUUUAUUGUAUUUGGACUUAUUUUUAAGUGAUGUAAGUUAUAUUUGUAUUAAUGGUAUUAAUUAAAAAUAAUUAUUUUGUUCAUUUUUAUUUUCUUAUUGUAUUAAUUAGUUCAUAUUCAAUAAUUAAAAAUAAUGCAGUUAUAUUUAUUCUAUAAUUUUGUUCAUUAAUGUUAAUUUUUUAUUCUAUUUCAGGUAUCUAGCAUGCCUCGACGUGGUUCUAUAUUAGGUUCCCAGAGUAAUAAGACCACUUCAUCUAGAUCAAAUGGCCCUUCAUCUGGGCCGAAUAGCCAAGCAUCCAUUUCUCAUCAACCUAUUCAUCAUGAGUUGUAUGGUUGCUAUAAUCCUACUUGGAAUGCACAUCAUACUCGGCAAGAUUAUGGGCAGAGGGAUGAUUAUCAAUCGUACAAGGGUUUUCACUUUCAAGAUUUACUUCAAACUCAAGAAGGUUUCCCUCAAGAUCACCCAUAUACUUUUGGAGGAUAUAAUGUUGAUGGGGGUUAUUAUGAUUGGAGGGGCAAGGAUGUUAGGAGAGGUGAGAGAGUUGAAGAAGAUAGAGGAGAACAAUAUGAGAGAGUAGAUAGUGAUAAUGAUGAAGAUGAGGGAGAUGAUUGUAAUGUUAGAGAUUCAGAGGAUCGAGAUGGCAUCCCAUCAAUCCAUAGUUCAACAUCUUCUCCAUUGCAUCAUGAGCAACGGGUUCAAAAGAAAGGUUUUGACACAUAUAAGGAUCCAAUUACAAAAAAAAAAAAAAAACUUCAUUUAUAUGGAACAACAGAGUAAGUUAAAAUUUAUAAGGUUAUUGUGUUUUAUAAUUAUUUUUUAAGCUUUAUUAAUUUAAUGAAUCUUUGUUAUUUUUUUAAGCUUCAAUAACUCAUCAUGUGGGCAUGAGAUCGGACUUAUUUUGAGGUCAAAUUUUAAAGGACCAUGGUAUAAUUGGGAAAAAGUUGGUCCAACUUAUAGGGAUGAACUCUUUAAAGAGUUUAAGGUAUGAGAUUAUAUAUUUUUAUUUUAGACAUAGUUAUGUUGACUUAUUAAUUAAUAUUAUGAGACUUGAAUAUAUUAAUAAAUAUACGUAUUGAGAGAUUGUUUGAUGGAUGGAAUGUGAUCUAGGAUGAUUGGAUCAAGAUAGGAGUUGUAAUGACAUAUAAUAGAGGUGUUGUCGAUAACUUGGUAUCAAUAAAAAUAGAUGAGACUCUGCUGAAAUUUAAAAAAAAAAAUCCAUAAUUUUAGACAUAGUAUUCAAUACUUGACAUUAGUAUAGAAAUGUUUUAGAUUUCAUGAUAUUAUAUUUGAGGAUGUUACAUUCUUUUUUUCUAUGCACACCAUAUCUUAGAUGCGAGUAUUAUUUUUGUAAAAAAUAGUUUUUUUAUGGAAGUGAAGACCAAAAUGAAGUACGAACUUAUCUUAGAUGCAAGGAGUAUUAUUAUAGUAAAAAAUGCAAGGUUAGAACAUGUCAUGUUAUUAUGAUAUAAGACAAAUUAAUUCUAUUUUAGGAAUAUAUUAAGAAAUGGUAAGGUAUAUACAAAAGAAAUAUUAUAAUAAUUAGAAUAUAAGAAAUUAAAUUCUAUUUUAUGAUGUAGUUAAGAAGUUUUUAUUUUAUCAAUAAUUUUUGUUCAUCUUUUUUACUAUUGAUUGUGUGAUUGUAAUUAUAUAGGCUAGUUAACAGCUAUGUUGAGAUUUGUUUAUAUAUAUAUAUUUUCUGAGGAUGAUGAACCAAUUGUUCGUAAGAUUUAGGAAGAUAAGAGUAGAAUUGCUUUGAACCAACAGUUGACACGAGCUCGUAAAAGAGGUAUGUCUGAUAGAAAUACCACAAAUAUUAUAGAUUGCAUUAAUAAAGGUCCAAUUUGGAUACACAAUGACGUUUGGAAUCAAAUGAUUAAAGAAAUUUGGUCCACCAAAGAAUUUCAAAAGAGAUCAAAAUCUGCAAGAAAUAAUCGGCUAACUGAAACGAAUGGUAAAUUAAGCACUCAUCCUGGAGGUACGGUGUCAAUUGCAUCAUACUGAGCUAGCAUGGUGAGGAGUGUUUAUAUUUGUUAUAAUGGACUUAAAAUUUUUAUAUUUAUAUUUUCUAAUAUUUUUUGUUUGUUGAUAGCAAGAAAAAACAGAUGGAAAAGAACCUCUAUGGGAUUAUGUGUUUUCAGUGUUGCAUCAGAGUGCCAAGCAGCCUGAAACAUUCAUAGAUAACAAGUCUAAAAAAGUUGUUGUAAGUAUUUUUUUUAAUGCAAUUUAAUUAUUAUUUAAAAUUUAAAUGAAUUUAUUAUUAUAUUUAAUUUUAUUGUAGGAGAAUUACUAAAAGAGAUGAUUUCAAGAUAUGGAACUGAUCAGGAAAAUCAUCCUUCAUUUGAUAGAGCAGCUUGGUGUGUGGCUAUAAGAGGAGUUACAAAGGGUAGAGUAUAUGGUGCACCUGGUAUGCCGAAAUCCAUGGUUAUUACGAGUGCUUCAUCACAAUCCUAUACGAUGGAGUCAACACAUUUAAGCUCAUCAAUUCAGACAUUGAAAGAGUAAAUAAAGGAAAAAGAUGGUCAUAUUUUAUCAUUACAACUGGAGAUGACCUCAAUCAAAAAAUUUCUUAGUAAUAUGGGAUACCAAGCUUGGGCAUCAAAUAUGGACCAAGGUAUGUCGGCACCUAUGACUUCAUCUAUGCCGUCACAUGUGGCAGAUGACAACACAUAUGUAUCCCCUGUCUAAUCCAGUAUAUUGACCUAGGCCUUGACCACCAUAUACCGGUCCCACCUUAUGAUAGUCAGCAUUGUUUUGGUUUGUUUCCACCACCACCCCAAUCACCACCUUUAUGAUAGAACAUAUUUAUUAAAUUGUGACUUAUCUAUUUUGAUGUAAGUUUAACGAGAUUUAGAAAUUUAUUAUAAAAUUUAUUUUUAUUUGAGUUAUUAUUUUUUAUAAAAUAAUUUCUAGUAUUAAUUUAUGUUCUUUAUAUAUUUAUCUAUAAUUUUUGAAAUAUCCACAAAUAAUUAAAAAAUAUUCAAUAGAUGGGAAAAAUAAUUUAAAAAAUUCGGACAAAUCAGCAACGGAUCAACAACAAAGUUUCCAUUACUGAUCUGCAAAGGAUCAGCAACGCAAUAUCCGUUGCUGAUCAGCAAUGGUGAUUAACAAUGGAAUAUCCGUUGCUGAUUUAUACAAUCAGCAACCGAAUUUCAGCAACGGAUAAAUCAUUGCUGAACAAAUCAGCAACUGAUAAUCCGUUGUUAAAAAAUCAGCAUUUAUUAUUUGCAUCUAAUAUUAUCCAUUGCAGAUUUUUAUUAGCAAUAUAUUUUAGUUUUAUCUGCAAGUAACUAGUUAGUUGCUAAUAGGCUACUUUUUUAGCAGUGAACAUUCUCCAGCCUCAACUCUGUAUACGCAAGUCCAUGACUGUGCAAGUAUUUCACCUUAAGGAAGCAAAACAAACACCUUGAUAACCAUGGAAAGCCAGAAUUCAAAUCAAAUUCUAACAUCACCACUUAUGACUCCCAAUCAAAUAUGAUCUCUACCUAAAAUAGACCUCCAGUUGUUCCAGCUGUAUAUCUCACCAUGAUUCUCUCUUAAUUGUAAUCGUUGUGAAUUCCUUUAGUUUAGCCAAAUAUAUUUCUGUCAUAAUUAUCAAUCCCUACAAUUGAGGGAAUGCUAUGUAAUCUUUAUCAAUAUAUAUACUUCACGAGAAUCACCACAGGGUGUGAUCUGAAACCCAAUACACUUGUUAUCUAUAUUCUCCUUCAUGGUAUCAAAGCCAUACGUCUAACAACUAUACACAUAUUUUUUUCUUUAUCUCUCCAUGGAAGCCAUCAAUUCCUCUGCUGGUGUUGUAGUUCCCAGCCAUUCCGGGUUCAUGUCUAUCAAACUUGACAGAACCAACUAUCCAUUAUGGCUUGCUCAAAUUGUUCCGAUUCUAAAAAGCAAAAAUUUGAUGGGAUUGUCACAGGUACAAAUCCUUGCCCGCCAGAAUUCAAAUCAAAUAUUGACGACACCGUAACAGCUGAAGUGGAUCCUAGGUACACUACCUGGCAUCAACAGGACCAGAUGAUUCUUAGUUGGAUCAACAACUCUCUUUCUCCAACUGUACUGUCUACAGUGGCUCGAUUCAUAUCAUCAUAAGCUACAUGGUCCUCACUUGAGAAGAGAUAUGCUUCUCAGUCGAAAAAUCGAAUUUUGCAGCUCUGAUAUGACUUACUCACUGUGAAAGGGGAAGGUCUUCCCAUCUCAGAUUUUAUGGACAAGAUAAAUCAGAUUGCUGAUAAUCUUGCCUUAGCAGGAAAACCAGUUGACAAUGAUGAACUUGUCAACAUAAUACUGAACAAUGUCAGCCCGGCAUAUGAAGUUACAGUCAGCUCUACAUAAGCCCGUGACACUUCUAUAUCCUAUGAUGAUCUUAUUGCCUUAUUGCUUAAUGUAGAGAUGAGGCUCAAGGCGCAACAAACACCAUCUCUUAAGACAAGUCCCAUUGCCAUGUACACACCUAAAGCUACAUAAAGCAACAACCGUGAUCGUAAUUCUGUGCACCACCAUGGAUCCAAUAUGCGAGGCAGGGGACCAUCUGGUUUCCGUCGGUAUCAAAAUUGGUCCCAACCACAAUCAGGUUCAGUGUCUUUUGGUAACUCUGGUCCUAUGCCUUCACGUCCUCCAUGUCAAAUUUGUAAUCACAGUGGGCAUAGUGCCCUUGAUUGCUAUCAACGCAUGAACCAUGCGUAUGAAAGCAGGAUCCCAACUCAGAAACUUAUGGCUAUGGCUGCUAUUGCCUCUUCUAACAUUCCUUCAUCUACAUGGAUUUCAGAUUCUGGUGCCUCAAACCAUAUUACUUCUGAUCUUACAAAUUUAGCCAUUCACAAUGAAUAUCAGAGAAAAGAUCAUGUUGUUGUGGGUAAUGGUGCAGGUUUGACUAUUGCUCAUACUGGCUCUAGUAAAUUCACUUGUGGUUCCUCAACCUUUGCUUCGAAAAAUAUUUUGCAUUGUCCUUCCAUUGCUGCUAAUCUUUUGUCAAUAUAUCAAUUCACACGGGAUAAUAACUAUUACUUUGUUUUUUAUUCUGAUUGUUUCUAUAUGAAGGAUGUAAAAACGGGGAAGACGCUUUUCCGUGGGAAGAGUGAACAUGGUCUCUAUCCCUUUCGCAUUCAUACUCAAAUCUCUACAAAAUCAGGUCGUCCCUUUGCAUUGGUUGGUGUUCGUGUUAGCGUCCCAAUUUGGCAUUCUCGGUUGGGUCAUCCUGCUAAUAACACUUUGUCACAUCUUAUUUCAAAUAAAUGUCUUCUCAUGCAUGGUAAUAAUUCUCUUCCAUUUUGUAAUUCAUGUCCUUUGGGUAAAAGUACUAAGUUACCUUUUCAAUUGUCGGAUUCCAUAUCAAAAUUCCUUUUGGAAUUAAUUCACUCAGAUGUUUGGACUUCUCCUAUUACUUCAAUCAAAGGAUCAAAAUAUUAUGUUUUAUUUGUGGAUGAUUUUUCACGAUACUCAUGGAUCUUUCCAAUGCAAUAUAAACAUGAAGUGUUUGAUAUCUUCCUCAAAUUUAAACUACAUGUUGAAAAUCUCUUUUCAUCCAAAAUAAAAAUGUUUCAAUCUGAUGGUGGGAGUGAAUAUACAAACAGAAAGUUUCAAAACUAUUUGGCUCAUAAUGGUAUUGGAUUCCGCUCCUCUUGUCCAGGUCAUCCCGAACAAAAUGGGGUCGCAGAAAGAAAACAUUGUCACAUUGUUGACACUGGGCUCACACUUCUUGCCCAUGCUCAUAUGUCAUCAAAUUAUUGGGUAGAUGCAUUUCAAACUGCAUUAUACUUAAUAAAUCGUCUGCCAACUCGUGUUUUACAGUAUCUCAGUCCAUAUGAAAAAUUAUUUCACAAAUCUCCCUCAUAUGAUACUUUUCGUGUUUUUGGAUGUGCAUGUUUUCCUUAUUUACGACCUUACAAUACAAAUAAAUUACAAUUUCAUUCCAAGCGAUGUGUUUUUUUAGGGUACUCUCUUAACCAUCAAGGAUACCGCUGUCUUGAUCAAAGUACAUGUCGUAUUUAUUUGUCCCGUCAUGUUAUUUUUGAUGAGUUAUCAUUUCCAUUCCAAGAGACCACUAACACUCUUUAUGCAGAGACGACUUCACUAGAUUUCAUUCACCACUAGAGAUAGUUACUGAACCUUUGCCCCAUAUACCAUCAGCUUCUAUUGGCUCUCCAGACCCACCUACACAAAACCCACCCAAUGUUCCUCUUACAUCCAUCACACCAAGCACAAAUAUCCUCAUCACUCAUUUUAUCAUUACAGAACCUACCCAACCAAACACUACUCCAAUUCCCAAUCCUAUCAUUACUGAAACUUCUUCCCCAACCACUAAUCCCCACCUUAUGGUUACUAGGAGUCGAGCUGGAGUCUCUAAACCUAAUCCAAAGUAUGCAUUGACUGUCACUUAUGAUCCCACUCUUCUAGAACCCACAUGUUAUACUCAAGCUGUAAAAUCUGAGGAAUGGCGUAAAACAAUGGGUGCUGAGUUUAAUGCUUUGCAACAAAGCGGUACUUGGUCAUUGGUACAACCUACUUCGAAUAUGAAUAUUCUACCUAACAAAUGGGUGUUCAAAAUUAAAAAGCGUUCGGAUGGCACUAUUGAACGCUACAAGGCCCGCCUAGUGGCCAAUGGAUUUCACCAACAAGAGGGCAUUGAUUAUACAGAAACUUUUAGUCUGGUUGUGAAGCAUUCCACUAUUCGCAUUAUACUUGCUUUAGCAGUCAAUCACAAAUGGCCAAUUCGAUAAUUGGAUAUUCAAAAUGCGUUUCUACAUGGGAUCUUAUCAGAGGAAGUUUAUAUGAGACAACCUUCGGGCUUCAUUGAUCCAAACUAUCCUAAUCAUGUUUGCAAACUUCAUAAGUCACUUUAUGGUUUAAAACAAGCACCACGUCAAUGGUUUACAAGAUUUUAUGAUUAUUUAGAGGAACUUGGGUUCUGUGAGUCCAAAGCAGAUUAUUCUCUAUUCACAUUUCAUAAGGGUGAUUUGCUCAUUAUUCUGCUUAUAUAUGUUGAUGACAUUUUAAUUAGAGGCACUAGCUCUUCUUAUAUUUUUAGUCUUAUUCAGAAACUAGGCAGAUUGUUCUCUAUGAAAGAUUUGGGACCACCCCACUAUUUCUUUGGUCUAGAGGCGGUAUACAGCACAACUGGCUUGCAUCUCACUCAAACCAAAUACACUAUGGAUUUAUUGUUUCGCACAAAGUUUCAGGAUGUCAAGCCAAUCUCUUCUCCUGCUAAUGCUGGUAAGAAACUCAGUCUCUAUGAUGGAGACCCUCUUUCGGAUCACAGAAUUUCGAAGUGUUGUUGGCGCCCUACAAUACUUGACACUGACUCGUCCAGAUAUAUGCUUUGCUGUUAAUCAAGUGUGUCAAUUUCUACAUCAACCAACAACACAUCAUUGGACUGUUGUGAAACAUAUACUGUGUUAUUUAAAGGACACUCCCGACCAUGGGCUCUUAUACCAACCCGGCUCUUUAAUGUUGGAAGCUUACUCUGAUGCAGAUUAUGCAUGUUGCCCAGAUGAUCGUCACUCUACAGGUGGCUAUUGUGUUUAUCUUGGUCAUAAUCCCAUCUCUUGGAGUGCCAAAAAGCAGUGUACUGUAUCAAGAUCAAGCACUGAAGCUGAAUACCGUCAACUAGCCUACACUGCAGCUGAACUCUCAUGGAUUAGAUCCUUAUUUAAAGACUUGGGAGUACGUCUUUCAACUCCUCACAUUUGGUGUGACAAUAUCAACUCCAUAUCAUUGGCAUCAAACCCGGUCUUCCAUGCUAGAACCAAACAUUUAAAAGUGGACUAUCAUUAUGUCCGUGACAAAGUGGUACGUAAGGAACUCGAGGUCUGCUAUAUCUCCAAUACAGAUCAAGUCGUCGACAUCUUUACUAAAGGUCUCUCAAAGUCUCGGUUCCUUCUAUUAACAAACAAGCUUAUGGUUCGUGCACGACCCAUCAGCUUGCAGGGGUGUGAUAACCAUGGAAAGCCAGAAUUCAAAUCAAAUUCAAACACCACCACUUAUGACUCCCAAUCAGAUAUGAUCUCUACCUAAAAUAGACCUCCAGUUGUUCCAGCUGUAUAUCUCACCAUGAUUCUCUCUUAAUUGUUACCGUUGUGAAUUCUUUUAGUUUAGCCAAAUAUAUUUCUGUCAUAAUUAUCAAUCCCUACAAUUGAGGGAAUGCUAUGUAAUGUUUAUCAAUAUAUAUACUUCACGAGAAUCACCACAGGUAUGAUCUGAAACUGUAUUGUUAUCUAUAUUCUCCUUCACACCUUACACUUUAGUUGUGCACAACACAUGGCAACUAUUUGUGCACAGAUAAUACAAUUAAUAUAUAAGUACUCCAAUCAAGAAAUCCCUCGUCAAUAUGCGUGUUAUUCGCAACUGCCGAGAGACAGCAGGUCCUCCAACCGUGUCAUCUCCCACCCUCCUGACAGAUUCCUCAUCCAAUGCCAGAGUUCAAUCUGAUUGUCGAAGCCAAUGUCUCAAAGAAAAACUACCAUGAUACUGCCAUAAAAUAAAAGGGAAGAAAUAAACUUUCAAAUCCCUAAACUCACAAAUGGAGAAAUUGAAAUAUGAGAAGAACUCUGCUUUGAAAGUUUGGUACCUCUUCAACAACAUUGAAUAAUGGGAAAUUUUGGUGGUUCUAGACUUAUGGUCGAGGAAAGGUUUAUUAGCACAAAUACUGGGGAACGAAACAAGACAUGAAUAAAUCAGCACCCUGAAUUAGUGCACCUCCCACACAUGGGUACAACUAGCCCAGUGGAUAGGCAUAUUAAAGUAAAUGCAAGCUUUCCCCCGUUUUAUGCUGUUUUUGAGUUUUAUAUUCUGCUUCCACGCGCAACAUGCAGAGAUAUGAAGGCUCGUCCAGUAAACAGAAAACCUCCAACAGGGGUCUUGUAGAAAGACUACACUGCCUAGCAUAAACAACUAAAUGGAUUCACACAACGAAACAUUUAAUGCAUCAGCAAUAUAAAAAUCUUACACAGAAAGAGAACAUACCCCAUGUGAAGGGCGGAGCCUUGUAGAAAACUUAGGUGUGCUGUAGCUCAGGUAACAAAAUUAAUUAUAAAAAAUCUAAUAACUCACUUUACUUUCUCCUUGUCUUUCACGGAAAACCUAACAUAAAUAAUUAGUUGGUUGUUUUCCUUUUGUCUCUUACGGAAAACCUUUGGUUGUUUUCCUUUCGUGUCUCUUACCGACAACCAAAGUCUUUUGUAAAAAACCUGAACACGGAUAAUUAAUUGGUGUAUAAAUCAGAUUCACCUACUUGGAAAGUAAACUCCAGAACAAAGCCCCAAACCUGUAUUGCUCGCAUUCCUCUACGUUUUGCUUGGGUACUGACAAGUUUCCUUAGCACAACUUUAAUGUUAUGCGAAGGGCUGCAAUUUCACAUUGUCCCGCAAGAUAUCACAACAGUCUUAAAAAACAUUUAAUGAAAAGAAUAAAUUUUUAAUAUUUUAUUUUUAAAUUGGGAAAGGUGUCUUGUUUAAGAAUAUCACCUCCUCCUACUACUACUACUACUAUUAUUAUUAUUAUUAUUAUUAUUAUUAUUAACCCUAACUAGUCAGCAGAGAUUUUAUGGUGCGAAACUGGUUGUGUAAAAAAAAAGAUAUUAUUACUCCUUAAGCGUUAUAUCUGAAGUAAGUUGUAUUGCUAGUUUUGUCUUAAAUUGUUAAGAUUUUAUAUUAUGAUGGUCUACUUGUAAUAUUCUUAACUUUGACAUCAGUGAAUAUUUAACUACGGAUACUUUCAAUUCUGACAUUGGUAAAUAUUACGUAGUAAAAAACAUAUGGUAUUCACGAUAAGAUUGUCACAGCCACAUGUACUUGGGUUCAAUAAUUUGUUGAGUUCAAGGAUAUUGGGUCUGAUAAUUUGCCAAAACCAUAAAUAUUUAGGAUUAGCACUUAGUUGAGCUCAAGGAUGCGGGGUUUAAUAGUUCGCUAGACUCAUGUAUGCUUGGGCUCAACACUUGACUGAGCCUAAGAAUAUUGGGUGUGGUAGCUCGCCAAAUUAACCUACGCAUGCUUGGGCUCAAUUCUUGGCUGAGUCCAAGGAUGUUGGGUAUGGUAACUCGUCAGACUCAUUUAUACUUAGGCUCGGAAAGAUGCUGAAUCUAGUAACUCGUCAGAUUCAUAUAUAUAUAUAUAUACUUGAGUUCAACACUUGGUUGAAUAAAAAAAAUACUAGAUGUAGUAGUUUGCUAGACCUAAUAUGUAUUUAGACUCAAUACUUAACUAAUACUUAACUAUGUUUAAUGAUAUUGAGUUAUCAUUCUAUCUUUAUUUUUUUAUUUUGAACAUGAUUUUAGGUAAAUAACACAUUGAUAUGAUUGUCACAUAAACUUAGUAAAAUCAAAUCAUUUUAUGUAAUUUAAUUACAUAAACAACAACAUUUCACUUGCUUUUCUAUAUAAAAAGCAAAAAUUAGCGAUCCAGUUAGCAUCUAUUAGUACGAGAAAUGACAAUCAAUCUAAUUUUUUAUCAUUAAACUAAGUACUAGUUAUGCGUUUCAAAGCUAAAGAUAAUGUGUAUUAAAGAAAAAUAAUGAUAUACUUUACGGUUUAAAAAAUAUAUUUUUAUUGCAGUUUUAAAAUGAAAAUUAUAAUAUAUAUAUAUAUAAUUAAAAUUACUGGAAGAUAAAUUUUUACAUGUAAAAUAAAUAAAAAAAUUAUUCUAACUUCUAUAAAAUUAAAAUUUAAAACAUAAUUAUAUAUAGGCACUAGUAUAAAAUAAAAAUUAUUUACCUAAUCAAAUAAUUCUCUUUAUAACUAUAAUUAGACAAAAAACAAAGCGCAAUGUAUCUUCAAUACUCAAUACAUUGUCAAGAGAAACCUUAUUAAUUUGUUUGUUUUUAUUUUUUAAAAGUAUUUAAAAAAAAUUAAAAAAAUUUUAUAUUUUUUUAUUUAAAAUUAAUAUUUUUUUGAUAUUUUUAAAUUAUUUUGAUGUCCUAAUAUAAAAAAUAAUUUUUAAAAAAUAAAAAAAUAUUAUUUUAAUAAAAAGUAACUACUAUACUUAGAAAUACUUUAUGGAAUAAAUUGCUUAACUGAUUUGGGGUUAAAAUUCCAUGUUUUAUUAGUUUUUUUUAUUUAUUUAAUGGUCACAUCAAUUCAGAGUCUUGUUAUUUUUUUCAAUACAAGCUUUUUGCUUUUUGUCCUUGCCAUCAACCGAGAUCGCACGUUUAUCGCGCGAAUGAUAACACUACGUAAGCUUUCUACGUAGCGAUUCGCGCGAAUGAUAACACUACGUAAGCACUACGUAAGCUUUCUACGUAGCGAUUCGCGCGAAUGAUAACACUACGUAAGCUUUCUACGUAGCGACUCGCGCGAAUGAUAACACCAGGUAAGCUUUCUACGUAGCGACUCGCGCGAUAGGAUAAAUCAUGUUUGCUUUCUAAGGACCCACCUCUACUUUAAAUUUAAAGUAGAGGUGGGUCCGGGUAGUUCCUUAUAAAUAAGUAAAUGGAAAGUUCCCAGUUCUCCCAACCAAGAAAAAACCCAUUUCAUUUGCUUUGCUUUUGCUUGUCCUAGAAAAUGGCAGCGUUCUCCAAGAUCCUCAGAGAGACUGAUACUAAGAAGAGGCUGUCAGUUCCUAUCAGGUUUCUCAGGUCUCUUCCACCUUUCAAACUAGGCAGCCAUGCCGUCACGUUUGAAGCUACAGACGAGAAAGGCGAAGCUUGGCCCUUUCAAUGCUCCAUCCGCAAGAGAGGACACCCGAAGCCAGUCCUCACAAAAGGUUGGGUUGCGUUCGUUAAGAGCAAGAAGCUACAAGUUGGUGACAAGGUCAGGUUUAUUAAACGUAAGAACCGAGCUACUGCAGCAAUCUCUUACAUAGUUCGUGCUGAAAAGGCAAUCAAGAUCUUUGGUGUUACAUUUGGCUAUGCCCGGAUUGAUCUAGUCCAUUUCCCUAAUUAAUAGCUCUGUAAGUCAAGCUAGCAAAUAAUAGUGCCGGUUUCAUGCACUGGCUUGCAUGGCUCUUAAUCGAGUCCCUUUCUGUUCUUUUGCAUUUUACUUCUCCUCAGUCGUAAUUCUAGUCUACUAAGUUACCUCGGUGACUUGAAUAUUCUCAUGCACCAGACAGGAAACACCAAGGUUGUUAUUAAUGGUUGGCUUGUUAACUAUAUCCAGUAGGGAAUGAAAUGGAGCCAUGUUUCCCGCUUAGGGGACAUGUUAGAUUUCUAAGUUGGGUGAGUUUCAAGUUUCUUGAAUUCUCAUAUAUUUGUGCUGCUUCUGCAAUUAGUAUAAAUGUUUAACUUUCAAAAGCCAUCCCAUCUGCUAUGGUCUCUCAAGAUGUUCCUUUUGCACCUUUCUUUCAAGAAUAUGGAAUUACUGAUCUCUGAAUAACGCAAUAAGUAGCUCGCGAGGCCACUUCUCAUGCAAGGGUACGUACGUAGUAGCAGUAAUGUGGUAUAUGUGAUUGCGCUCUUGCAUAUGAAAUGUGAAUUAUUUUGCAUAUUCGGCAUCUUGACGAAAGAAAGUAACGAUGUUGGCUUAAAUCCGUUGCCUGAUUGCCUCUUUAAGAGGUAUUAUUUCUUGUUUAAAAUUAUGAUAUCAAAGUGGGUUUGAUCAUGAAAAUACACCUCUUGAAAUAGAGAGAUCAUAUAUAGCUAGCUAGGUUAUAAAUUACCUGAAUCCUCGACUUCCUAUCGACGUAGAAUAAUGAUAUAAUUAAUCAUAGAGUAUUAGUAAUGAGGAGGCUUGUUGGUUCAGUCAUGGAAUCCUCGACACAGAACUAAAAAAACGGCACUCGUACCGUUCAUUUCUUUUCUUUUUUGAUGUCGGCGCCAUGUGGUCAAGGUGAUGGUGAGAAUGGUGGGCGCACCAAAUCCACCCUCGGGCCCUACCACAUCCACAUGCAUAUAAAAUUUAUGACAUUAAUGUUCUUACAAAAAUUAGUUUUAUGAUUCUCAUGGCGAUGAUUUGAUACUUCACAUCUGGGUGUUGAGAUGCUGUUAGUUUUUCAUCCAUCACCGGGUAAUUUUUUCAUUAAAAUAAUGUUGCUUUUUAUUAUUAUUAUUAUUAUUAUUAUUGAUCCGAUUAGUUCCAACAGGUCACUACAAUUCCGAUCACAUUUAAAUGAUUUGUCCGUAACAAUAUCUUAUAAAAUUCAAUUAAAAGAGACCCAGCCCAAAUCUAUGUUUUGAAUUUUCCGAAUCAAUCAACAAAGCUAGGCAGAGUUUGACGGCUAUAAUCAUUCAUGACUAAAAUUCUAUUUAUUUUUGUUUUUUAAAAAUAUUUUUAAAAUAAUUUAAAUUUUUUUUAUUUUUUUAUUUGCUUCAAAUUAAUAUUAUUUUAGUAUUUUCAAAUUAUUUUGAUAUAUCAAUAUCAAAUAUGAUUUUUUAAAAAAAAAAUUUAUUUUAAUAUAUUUCUAAAAAACAAAUAUUUUAAAAAACAACUCCUACCCUCCCAAACCUCUAAAAAAAACCAUUAUCACAAGUGAAAUAAAUCUGAGAAGUGCGUGUUCGACUUGGUAAUAGCCAUAGCAUCAUUUUAGGUCGGUCGGAAUCUUAAGAAUGGUUCGUGGCUGCAAAAUUGAUUGAGCAUGAGCGUACCAAAGCAGAAGCUGUUCCCCUGCUGAUGGUUUUAUAGUCUGUUUGGUAUCAUCUUGACUACCUCUGGCUGUCUUCUUAUUAAUUAAGGUUUGGCCAAAUUAAGGGUAGACAAGCCACUCAGACAACAGGCCGCACUGCAUUUGGAAAAGGUUGAUCUUCUUCAAUUAAUCGACUUUACAAAUUACACGAGCAAGAACAAAAUAGCUAAAUACACUCCCGACAGAAAUUUCUAUCUACAGUUGUGCGCAAUUGCUAUCUACAGGUUUCAUCAACACAUAGAUCUUGUAAAUAAGAGAGCUGAUCCAUUGACCCCGCGCAGGACUAGCAGUCUGGAAUCCACAUAUGUUCCACAGACGAGCCUAGACAAAUCAAACAUCUCAGGUGGCACUUGCACACGAAUUUCUUGAACUAU